rnacentral:rRNA from 1 species
UACGUAGGGUCCAAGCGUUGUCCGGAUUUAUUGGGCGUAAAGAGCUCGUAGGCGGCUUAGUAAGUCGGAUGUGAAAACUCGGGGCUCAACCCCGAGACGCCAUCCGAUACUGCUGUGGCUUGAGUCUGGUAGGGGAACACGGAAUUCCUGGUGUAGCGGUGAAAUGCGCAGAUAUCAGGAGGAACACCGAUGGCGAAGGCGGCGUUCUGGACUGCAACUGACACUGAGGAACGAAAGCCAGGGGAGCAAACGGG